rnacentral:rRNA from 1 species
GUGAGGAAUUUUCCGCAAUGGGCGAAAGCCUGACGGAGCAAUGCCGCGUGAAGGAUGAAGGCCUAUGGGUUGUAAACUUCUUUUCUCAGAAAAGAAUUAUGACGGUAUCUGAGGAAUAAGCAUCGGCUAACUCUGUGCCAGCAGCCGCGGUAAGACAGAGGAUGCAAGCGUUAUCCGGAAUGAUUGGGCGUAAAGCGUCUGUAGGUUGUUUAAAAAGUAUUCUGUCAAAGAUUAGGGCUUAACCCUAGAUAGGCAGAAUAAACUUUUAAGCUAGAGUUUGGUAGAGGCAGAGGGAAUUCCCGGUGGAGCGGUGAAAUGCGUAGAGAUCGGGAGGAACACCAAAGGCGAAGGCACUCUGCUGGGCCAAUACUAACACUGAGAGACGAAAGCGAGGGGAGCAAAUGGGAUUAGAAACCCUGGUAGUCC